CGGACAGGUGAGUAAUGUCUGGGAAACUGCCCGAUGGAGGGGGAUAACUACUGGAAACGGUAGCUAAUACCGCAUAACGUCGCAAGACCAAAGAGGGGGACCUUCGGGCCUCUUGCCAUCGGAUGUGCCCAGAUGGGAUUAGCUAGUAGGUGGGGUAACGGCUCACCUAGGCGACGAUCCCUAGCUGGUCUGAGAGGAUGACCAGCCACACUGGAACUGAGACACGGUCCAG
rnacentral:rRNA from 1 species